rnacentral:rRNA from 1 species
AGCGAACGCUGGCGGCAGGCCUAACACAUGCAAGUCGAACGAACCCUUCGGGGUUAGUGGCGGACGGGUGAGUAACACGUGGGAACGUACCUUUAGGUUCGGAACAACACAGGGAAACUUGUGCUAAUGCCGAAUGUGCCCUUCGGGGAAAGAUUUAUCGCCUUUAGAGCGGCCCGCGUCUGAUUAGCUUGUUGGUGAGGUAAAGGCUCACCAAGGCUACGAUCAGUAGCUGGUCUGAGAGGAUGAUCAGCCACACUGGGACUGAGACACGGCCCAGACUCCUACGGGAGGCAGCAGUGGGGAAUCUUGCGCAAUGGGCGAAAGCCUGACGCAGCCAUGCCGCGUGAAUGAUGAAGGUCUUAGGAUUGUAAAAUUCUUUCACCGGGGAAGAUAAUGACGGUACCCGGAGAAGAAGCCCCGGCUAACUUCGUG